CAUAAUAACUAAACGAAUCGCAUGGSCUUGCGCCGGCGAUGGUUCAUUCAAAUUUCUGCCCUAUCWACUUUCGAUGGNAGGAUAGHGGCCUACCAUGGKGGCAACGGGUAACGGGGAAUUAGGGUUCUAUUCCGGAGAGGGAGCCUGAGAAACGGCUACCACAUCCAAGGAAGGCAGCAGGCGCGCAAAUUACCCAAUCCCGACACGGGGAGGUAGUGACAAUAAAUACUGAUGUGGAGCUCUUUAGGGUUUCACAAUUGGAAUGAGAAAAAUCUAAACCACUUAAACGAGGAACAAUUGGAGGGCAAGUCUGGUGCCRGCAGCCGCGGUAAUUCCAGCUCCAAUAGCGUAUAUUAAAGUUGUUGCAGUUAAAAAGCUCGUAGUUGAACCUUGGGCCUGGYCGGCCGGUCCGCCUCACCGCGUGCACUGGUUCGGCCGGGCCUUUCYUCCUGGGGAACCGHAUGCCCUUCAYUGGGUGUGCCGGGGAAUCAGGACUUUUACUUUGAAAAAAUUAGAGUGUUCAAAGCARGCAUUUGCUUCGAAUACAUUARCAUGGAAUAAAUAGAAUAGGACGUUGUGGUUCUAUUCUUGUUUGGUUUCUA
rnacentral:rRNA from 1 species